rnacentral:rRNA from 1 species
CCUACGGGUGGCAGCAGUGGGGGAUAUUGCACAAUGGGGGAAACCCUGAUGCAGCGACGCCGCGUGAGUGAAGGAGUAUUUCGGUACGUAAAGCUCUAUCAGCAGGGAAGAAGAUGACGGUACCUGACUAAGAAGCCCCGGCUAACUACGUGCCAGCAGCCGCGGUAAUACGUAGGGGGCAAGCGUUAUCCGGAUUUACUGGGUGUAAAGGGGGCGUAGACGGUACAGCAAGUCAGAAGUGAAAGGUCGGGGCCCAACCCCGGGACUGCACUGGAAACUGUUUGGCUGGAGUACAGGAGAGGCAGGCGGAAUUCCUAGUGUAGCGGUGAAAUGCGUAGAGAUUAGGAGGAACACCAGUGGCGAAGGCGGCCUACUGGACUGCAACUGACGGUGAGGCUCGAAAGCGUGGGGAGCAAACAGGAUUAGAUACCCGUGUAGUC